UACGUAGGGGGCUAGCGUUGUCCGGAUUUAUUGGGCGUAAAGAGCGUGUAGGCGGCCAGGUAGGUCUGCUGUGAAAACUCGAGGCUCAACUUCGAGACGUCGGCGGAAACCAUCUGGCUAGAGUCCGGAAGAGGAGAGUGGAAUUCCUGGUGUAGCGGUGAAAUGCGCAGAUAUCAGGAAGAACACCCGUGGCGAAGGCGGCUCUCUGGGACGGUACUGACGCUGAGACGCGAAAGCGUGGGGAGCGAACAGG
rnacentral:rRNA from 1 species